rnacentral:rRNA from 1 species
GACGAACCGAGCGAACGUUGUUCGGAAUAACUGGGCUUAAAGGGCGCGUAGGCGGGCUGUCAAGUCUGGGGUGAAAUCCCCCGGCUCAACCGGGGAAUGGCUGGAUAUACUGGCGGUCUUGAGCAGUUCAGGGGCAGAUGGAACAGACGGUGGAGCGGUGAAAUGCGUAGAUAUCGUCUGGAACGCCAAAGGUGAAGACAGUCUGCUGGGAACUUGCUGACGCUGAGACACGAAAGCCAGGGGAGCGAACGGG